rnacentral:tRNA from 1 species
UAGCUCAGCGGCAUAAGCACCUGCCUUGCAAGCAGGCGGUCGUGAGUUCGAUCCCCAC